rnacentral:rRNA from 1 species
GUUGAACGCUGGCGGCGUGCCUAAUACAUGCAAGUCGAGCGAACAGACGAGGAUCUUGCUCCUCUGACGUUAGCGGCGGACGGGUGAGUAACACGUGGAUAACCUACCUAUAAGACUGGGAUAACUUCGGGAAACCGGAGCUAAUACCGGAUAAUAUAUUGAACCGCAUGGUUCAAUAGUGAAAGACGGUUUUGCUGUCACUUAUAGAUGGAUCCGCGCCGCAUUAGCUAGUUGGUAAGGUAACGGCUUACCAAGGCAACGAUGCGUAGCCGACCUGAGAGGGUGAUCGGCCACACUGGAACUGAGACACGGUCCAGACUCCUACGGGAGGCAGCAGUAGGGAAUCUUCCGCAAUGGGCGAAAGCCUGACGGAGCAACGCCGCGUGAGUGAUGAAGGUCUUCGGAUCGUAAAACUCUGUUAUUAGGGAAGAACAAAUGUGUAAGUAACUAUGCACGUCUUGACGGUACCUAAUCAGAAAGCCACGGCUAACUACGUG